GGCGAGCGCGCGCGCACGCGCGGCGGGCGGGGGUCGCGGGGCGGGAGCAGGUCCGGCCCUCAGCUCGUCAGCUCGCCUUCCCUUUGUGUCCGCUCCCGUCGCCACCGCGUCACAAAGACCCCGGCCCGCAGGGUGAGGGGCGCGUGACGGAGCCGCGGGGGAGGGGGGGCUACGACCCCGCCCCGCGUACACCCCAGCCCCGCCCGCGGCCGGCCGGCACCGCCUCCGGGGGAGCUAUUGUUCCUGCGGCCGGGCGGGAGCGCUCCGGGGGUCGCCCCUCUCCUCCGGCCGACGCCAAGCGCUCCCCACCCGCCCCGCCGCCCGUAAUCAGCGUAUUUGCCGCCCUUUGUGAACGUUUUCGAAGCGUCUCCUUCGAACGUUUUGGAACGCCGCCGUGGAAGAAGGGCAGGUGGUCUGUGGCAGGUGGUCUGUCAUGUAUCUGUUUUCCAAGAGAAGAAACUGAGCCGCGGAGAGUAAAGGUGACUUGUCCAAGGUCACAUACCAAGAAAGGGGCAUGAGCAGGAUUGGAACCCAAGUUCUGACUCCAGAACUUGGAGAACACAGAGAUGUUGGGUGAAUCGCUGAAUCUCUAGGACUUCCUCCCCACCCGCGAUCCCAGAUGAGAAAGUUGGGACCCGGAAAAAAGUGAUCUGACUCCCAAUCUAGUGCUCUCCACACCACAUCUUGUGAGGUGAUCUCUACCCAGACAUAGUGCCCCUCUGCUAUGUGCCACUCUGCCUUGGAACCAGCUUGGACUGAAACCUCUACCAAUUGAUCCGUUCCCUCAGAGCUUAAUCUACUCUGGGGACACUAACAAGUGAAUUUCCCAUCCUGCAAACCAAGAAUGAUUUUCCUAGAACUGAUUAUUCCUCCAAAUCAUAAUGACAGGCAGCUUUGGAACUAAGUAGAUUUCUCUAGUUUUUGUCACAGAUGAAGAAAGAAAAGUCAUUGUGUAAUCAAAUAAAGAAAUUACUCCAAAAGAUCUGAUAUUGCCAUCACUGUAUCUGUGGUCUUAGCCAGGUCAUAUCCUGGAGCAACCACAGAUUCAUCUUAAAAUCAGGAGUGGAGUCUGUGAUCCCUCAGGUCUGAGGAACACUUUUAAAAGCAUACAAUCCUGUAUAAACAAUUUCUGUAAUUUCUGAAGUGAAAGGGCCUGCACAGUUAGAGAAUGAGUCCACUUCCCCUCUUCAAGAUUGAAGGAACUAGGGUCAGAAAGGUGAAAUGGAUUGUCCAAGAUCAUAAAGAUGGUGACUUGGAAAGUCCAGAUUUUUUUUUUUGUCUCAGUAAUAUGGUGUCCUUAGCAACUACAGGGCUCUCCCCUUGGAUGGAGACAAAUUAUUCAUCAGUGACUCCCUUAAGUCACUUUGGCAUCCUCUACAAUGGGGAUUUAGUAUCUCUCUCAUACCAGAUGCUUAGUAAGACUUAUUCUGCUAAAGUAUAUGAAACCUAUGUAUGUUUCCCAUAUGUUCUAGUCGCAAGAAGCUUCCUAUAAAAUUAAUCUCUCAAACAUGUGAUGACAAACAUGUAGCUAAGCAACAAUAAUUGGAACAAUAAAGUGGCCAUUGUAUGUUCCUUCCCUUGCUGGGAAGGGUGAACAUAUUUGCAGACUGUUUUUUCUUCUCCAAGCCUGUUUUUUCAGAGUAGCAGGCAAACAUCAAGAUGGUGGCCGUUUAAAAUUGGCCAAUCCAUAUCAAAAGAAUAAGGAACCAACUUGAAAGGACCCCUGCUAGUCAAAAGUGUGACAACUGAUUGUCAAGGGUGAUAGGUACAUGAGGUUUCCUUCAGUUAUUUUCUUAAUUUUUAUGUAUGCUUGACAUUUUCUUUCUUUUUUUUCUUUUUUUUUUGGUUCCGGGGAUCGAACCUCAGGUCCUUGCGCUUGCACAGCAGGCGGCAAAACCACUGAGCUAAAUCCCUGGCCCUGUUUGACAUUUUCUAUAAUAAAAAGUUAGAGGGAGAAAAGCCUGUGGCUUUUAAAUAUAUUGAUACAAUAAUUUAAAAUCACACUGUUACAAGUCAACUAUUCUCACACAAUGCCUGGAUAGAGGUUACUAUAGUUGUACUGGAACAGGCUGGAGGGGACCAGGACAGAUCAGAGAACCUUCACACGGGGAGGGUGAGGCAGGAGGAUCACAAGUUUAAGGUCUCCCUUGGCAAUUUAGUGAGUUAGUGAGAACCUGUCUCAAAAUAAAAAGAGAUGGGGAGGUAGUUAAGGUGAAGGCUCUAGGUUCAAUCUCCAGUACAAAAAAGAAAGGAAGGAAGGAAGGAAAGAGAAGGGAGGGGAGGAGAGGGGAGAGAAGGGGUGCAGACUUUACAUAAGUGACAGAAUCUGAUCAGGGUCUCCCACAAUAUACCACCUCAUCCUAAAAGUUAAGGUCAGGAUGAAGUAUUAUUGUGAGCAGGCUUUCCACCUACUGGGUAUCCCUCUCCACAGUCAUACUGGGCAUAUAAGGAAUCAAAGAUCAAGAGAGUUAAACACAUGUCAAAGGCAGUUUGGCCUCAGAUUCUAAGCAAAGCUAAACGAAGGGACAUUUAUCUUUGGGGCUGUGUCCUGGAACCCCUAAAUUUUCAGGCCUUGAUUUGAGUAUGUUGCUCUCAUAUCCCUACAGUGACACCCAUUCUGAGCCUCUUCCCCAAGGUCCAAAAUUAAUUUUUGCCUUUAUCAAUACUUCUAUUCCCUAUAAACCCUUGAUUCCCAAAAUAAAAUUUACUAACACAUGCUCUGCACACUCUGGAUGUUCUAUAUAUCUCUAUCUGCCAAUCUGUCCGUGCCCAACUUACUUUUUGUAGUUUUUAUUACUAAAUCAGUGGGUACACCGAAUGCUCUUAAAUCACACAGCUCCCAGAGCAGAUUCUGAACUGAUUCCCCCGCCCUAACUCCUCUUACCCAGGAGAGGCCAAUAUGUCUACUUUCCUCCUGCCCCCGCUCCUUCUAAGAAGCAUUAGAACUCUGAUCCACAAAUAAAAAUGGGAUUACUGCCUAUUUUCUUCUAUUGUAUGUAAUGCUAUUUAUGUAUACAUUACAUAUGUGUGUUUGUAUAUAUACACUUUCUAAAUAAAUCUUUUUUCCAAUCUUGAUUACUUCAAGAGAAAUGCCUACAAACAGAAUGGCUGCCACAAAACAUGAAAACAUCAAAGACUUCUGUGACAUCAUCAACUUGUCCUUGUACAAAUGUUAUGUUGACUUACAGUCCCACUUACAGCACAUAAGCAUUUCUAUUUCCCUGCUUCAUUUACUUUUGCCAUUACCUUUUUUGUUCUAUGGCAACUAUGGAGGUGAAAAAAUGUCACUUCAUUGUUUAAUGAUCACAGAUCCAGCUCUCAUGCAAAUAAGCUACACUCUGAACCAUGUCCCUGUGAUACUUAGCAACUGUAAAUAUAUGGAAUUAAAGCCAAGCAAUUUAAUAAUUCUUCCUUGCAAUUUAUGCGGUACCACUAGCAGCCACAAGGUGGUGGUAGACUUAUGGGGAGUCUAAAUUUCGCAAAGGUUUGGCCCCACUGUAGCCAGUUGACCUCUAGUAAGCGCAUAAUAGCAGAUAACU